rnacentral:rRNA from 1 species
AAGAUAAAAGACCAACUAUGUCAAAAGUCCUAGAAAAGACUAAACCAAAUAGCACUGGUCCCAGUCUUCGGUUGGGGUGACCACGGGAGAAAACAAAACUCCCACGCGGACUGGGGUAAUCCCCUAAAACUAAGAGAGACAUCUCUAGUGCACAGAACAUCUGACCAAAAAUGAUCCGGCUAUACGCCGACCAACGGACCAAGUUACCCUAGGGAUAACAGCGCAAUCCUCUUCCAGAGUCCUUAUCGACAAGAGGGUUUACGACCUCGAUGUUGGAUCAGGAUAUCCUAAUGGUGCAGCCGCUAUUAAG